CUCAAGUCCGAGAAUCCAAAAUUGAUUUUCUAACACAUAAAUAUGAAAUCUUUAAAAUGGAGAAGGAACCCAUUGGUAUUAUGUUUGAACGAUUAUUAAGAAUCGUCAACGAUCUCCAUGCUCUCGGGAAAGUUUACACGAACAAAGAUCUUGUUUGCAAAGUCCUACGGAGUCUCACUCCCGAAUGUCGUUCCAAAGCCAAUGCAAUCCAAGAG
rnacentral:lncRNA from 1 species